rnacentral:lncRNA from 1 species
GACAGAAGCUCUAGCCGCACCACAGUAACUAGGACUCCCCCUGUCAAGCAGUUCAUCGUAGCGGCUGAUAAGGAUGCGUGUAGACAAAGGGAAUGAAUAGCCGGAAAUAUUCUGGGAUGUUCUAAAAUCAGAAGGACUUUCUGUACAGUGUGGCGAUGCACGACAGGAAAUUAACUCCGAAAGGAAUGCUUUCUCUCAAACUGCUGCAACAGAAUUGAAAUUUUUUCUAUUCUAGUAUCUGAAAUUCCUCCUGAAGACACGGCAAGGACUAUCAGAAACAUCAGAGAGAUUCUGGUACUUUUAAAGAGACUCAAAGCAAACGCCAGCGUAAUAGCUGAAUGACCUUGGAGAUCAUUUUAUGUGGAUUCAUUAAUUUUCACUGCCAGUCUUCUAGUCUCAGGAACUCUAGGAUUAAAGAUGGUUUUAACAUUUUAGGGGCCUUUCAAAAUACAAGAUUGUAUACAAUUAAUUACCUGCCUAAUGAUUCCUGAACUAAUUGAGCAUUUACUUAGAACACGGAAAGAAGAUGCUUUCUUUUAACGUUUGCUUUUUCCAUAAUUGUGAAUAAAAUUAACAAGGUAAUGUCCUGCAAUUAGAAGAACUUUUUUUUUUUUUAAGCAAGUAUUUAUUAUGCUGAUCAUCUAAUAAAUAUAGAAACCUUAAAGCCCUAAGAAGAUGAAGCUGAAUAACAGAAUAAUGGAGCAGUAAACAAUGGCAGCUUUUCUAGUCAAAUCAGCAUUUCAUUAGCUUCACAGCAGAAUGCAGAUGGAAGUUUCUGUUCUCGUUGUAUGGGGGUUUGUGAAAUGAUUCAGGUGUUGCUACAGAGGUGAGCAGUAUCAUGGAUAUACCUAUGAACUCCUGGGUACUGAUCCACGGUAGCAGAGUUUCCAAAGAUGAAUAUUUUAAAUUACCAUUGCUGAAAUUAAAUUCAAGAGGAUUUAUUUUGUCUGUGGGGACCUUGCAUUAUGCUUCUGGCAUUAAUAAUUGUAAUGGACUAUAACUGUUUGAAGGAAUUGUGAAUAUCGACAAAAGUCUCCAAAUUCUAUUCUUAAAUUAUUUUAUUUUUUAAAUGAAUAGAACACGAUCUUCCUCAUUGUAUGUGAGAUGUAUGUUUUCUUUCUUGGGAGUCCGAGGGCAAAUCUGCCUUGUCCCCCACCCAUCUCCCUCCAAAUAAAAUUCAUUAUUCAUACCCAAA